GACGAACGCUGGCGGCGUGCUUAAUACAUGCAAGUCAACUUGACUUUAGAUAGCAAUAUCGAAAAGUAGGGUGGCGCACGGGUGCGUAACGCGUAGGUAAUCUGCCCUGAGGUCUGACAUAACCCGUCGAAAGGCGGGCUAACAUCAGAUGAUAUAUAAUCACGACAUCGUGGAAAUAUCAAAUCUUCGGAGCCUUGGGAUGAGCCUGCGUCUGAUUUAGGUAGUUGGCGGAGUAAUAGCCCACCAAGCCUACGAUCAGUAGCUGGUCUGAGAGGAUGAUCAGCCACACUGGAACUGAGACACGGGUCCAGACUCCUACGGGAGCAGCAGUAAGGAAUAUUGCUCAAUGGGGAAACCCUGAAGCAGCAACGCCGCGUGAAGGAUGGAAAUACUUUUGUAUGUAAACUUCUGUAAGAUGGGAAAAAUAUUCUCCUCGGAGAAUUGAUUGUACCAGUCAGAGU
rnacentral:rRNA from 1 species